rnacentral:rRNA from 1 species
CCUACGGGUGGCAGCAGUGAGGAAUAUUGGUCAAUGGACGAGAGUCUGAACCAGCCAAGUAGCGUGAAGGAUGACUGCCCUAUGGGUUGUAAACUUCUUUUAUAUGGGAAUAAAAUGUUCCACGUGUGGGAUUUUGUAUGUACCAUAUGAAUAAGGAUCGGCUAAUUCCGUGCCAGCAGCCGCGGUAAUACGGAGGAUCCGAGCGUUAUCCGGAUUUAUUGGGUUUAAAGGGAGCGUAGGCGGCUUCUUAAGUCAGUUGUGAAAUUUUGCGGCUCAACCGUAACAUUGCAGUUGAAACUGGCGGGCUUGAGUACAGUAGAGGUAGGCGGAAUUCGUGGUGUAGCGGUGAAAUGCUUAGAUAUCACGAAGAACUCCGAUUGCGAAGGCAGCUCACUGGACUGCAACUGACGCUGAGGCUCGAAGGUGCGGGUAUCGAACAGGAUUAGAUACCCCGGUAGUC